CCCUGAACGGAACAAUACGAUCCUGGAUAUUAUCCUUUCCAUCACUAACUUAUUUCGGCUCAAAGUUUUAAGUUGCAAGGUACUCUUCCUAAGUCAAUUCAAAACUUCAUGAACCUAACGCGACUUGAUCUUAAGUUACAUUUUACGAAACCUCAAUCUUGGGUAGAGGACCGUGCAAUUGGUUAAAACUCGGUCUAAAUAACUUAGUGAUGGAAGGGAGAAUAUCCAGGAUGGUAUUGUUCCGUUCAGGG